rnacentral:rRNA from 1 species
GUGGGGAAUAUUGGACAAUGGGCGAAAGCCUGAUCCAGCAAUGCCGCGUGAGUGAUGAAGGCCUUAGGGUUGUAAAGCUCUUUUACCCGGGAUGAUAAUGACAGUACCGGGAGAAUAAGCUCCGGCUAACUCCGUGCCAGCAGCCGCGGUAAUACGGAGGGAGCUAGCGUUGUUCGGAAUUACUGGGCGUAAAGCGCACGUAGGCGGCUUUGUAAGUUAGAGGUGAAAGCCUGGAGCUUAACUCCAGAACUGCCUUUAAGACUGCAUCGCUUGAGUCCAGGAGAGGUGAGUGGAAUUCCGAGUGUAGAGGUGAAAUUCGUAGAUAUUCGGAAGAACACCAGUGGCGAAGGCGGCUCACUGGACUGGUAUUGACGCUGAGGUGCGAAAGCGUGGGGAGCAAACAGGAUUAGAUACCCCGGUAGUCC